AAUACGGAAUUUUUCUACGUUGAUUUGGUUAAAGGCAAUUGCCAUAUUUUUCCAACGGUACGCUUUCUUUCGGUGUCUCAAUCGAUUGUCGAAUAUGUGAUUUUUAUGGCGCGUUACGCGCGAGUGUCGGUAAUGUCGCGAAUAAGAAAUAUUCUCAUGUACGUACGUGUCUUUAGAAUUUUUUUCGCGUUUUCGGGUCUCAUUUCUAUAGAUAUCAAAUUAUAACGAUUUAUUUUCGCAGUUUGGUCCGACGAAGUAUUCGUUUCGAGGGUUUUUACGUUUAUACGUCAUAUUUAUUAACUUUCAAUAUUUUCGUAGAACCUAUCGUAAAAUAACGAAUUUUCAGGAUGGCCAUUGGUAAAGUGGUACCCUUGAAAGCACUAUCGACAUCACUGGCAUCACCGAUCCCCUACAGUGUUCCGAAUAAGAGCCAUACUUGUUUUGCGAACACUUUCGAAUUGUAACGGAAUUACGUCUCCUCGUAAUGACAGGUUUGGGAAAUUCAUCUGUGCGGGAAUAUCAACGAAACAGAAUUUAUAAAUCCACCUUCGUUGCUAUAGAAUGGUCAAAUAUUCGUGUUAAAAUGGACUUCGGUGACAAAGAUAAGUAUAAUAUUUUAAUUUACUUUAAUAAUGAUUCCAUUAUAAUUAAUCAAACAUUUUAAUUCUUUUAUUAUUCAAUAAUGCGAUAUACAGAAAGGAAGAGAGAUAAAUUCGUGUACUCUUCGUAGAGUAUUCAAUUCAGUUUUAUUUAUUUGUUGUUACUUGUUCGUAAACAAUUGAGUUUCCAUAUGUAAGUUAUAUACGAUCUGAAAAAGUGAUAUUGUUUGCAAUGUAUUCAACGAUACAACGUAAAUAUUACCGUGCUAGUGACUUUGUACUUUGGUACACGUUUCAAAAAUAUAUGUUUUUUUUUUUUAUAAUAAUAGUAUAUCGAAGAAUUAAAAUAUUUACAAAUUUGUAAAAAAACGAAACUUUGUGUUAUCUCGUUGCUCUGCCAUCGAAAAUGAUUUCGAAAAAUGUAUUUUGUAGAAUUUUAUAUUUCUUGUUAUAUGAUAAAUUUUUAUUAUCGGCCAAACAGUUGAAACGAUAGUUAAUCAAUCAUCCUACAUGAUGCUCGAGCUCGAUCAUCUUACGUCAUUUCGAAGCUGAUUACUCAAGCAAGGAUCUACGAAGUCUCGAUAAAGCAGCGAUAGUGAUUCAGUGUAAUUUUACUGUUGUGAUCUAGUAAUUAGAAGAUAAGUCAGUAAUUGAAUCAUCUUGAAGCUGAUUAAUCGUGCGAGGAUCUACAAAAUCUCUAUUCAUUGCAACGGCGCGCGAGGCAACGAUAUAAAUUCGGUGCUUGCUCGAGAAUUUAGAUUCUUCCGCGUUCCGCGAUUUUUGAAUUAAAGAAUAAAUGAUUGCGCGCAAUGCGAUCAUAGAUUUAAUGUCCGUCUCGUAGUAAAAGAACGUAAUUAACGCCUACUAGAGUCAGUGUUUUAUUUCAUCAAAUUAGAGUCAGUGCAUCGAAGAAGAUUAUUGAAGAUAUCUUUCCGAGG